rnacentral:rRNA from 1 species
CUACGAAGGGGGCAAGCGUUGUUCGGAAUAACUGGGCGUAAAGCGCACGUAGGCGGAAUGUUAAGUUAGAGGUGAAAUCCCAGGGCUCAACCCUGGAACUGCCUUUAAUACUGGCAAUCUAGAGACCGAGAGAGGUGAGUGGAAUUCCGAGUGUAGAGGUGAAAUUCGUAGAUAUUCGGAGGAACACCAGUGGCGAAGGCGGCUCACUGGCUCGGUACUGACGCUGAGGUGCGAAAGCGUGGGGAGCAAACAGGAUUAGAUACCCUAGUAGUCC